GCAGGCUUAACACAUGCAAGUCGAGCGGAGCGANGGUGCUUGCACUUAAGCUUAGCGGCGGACGGGUGAGUAAUGCUUAGGAAUCUGCCUAUUAGUGGGGGACAACGUUUCGAAAGGAACGCUAAUACCGCAUACGUCUACGGGAGAAAGCAGGGGAUCUUCGGACCUUGUGCUAAUAGAUGAGCCUAAGUCGGAUUAGCUAGUUGGUGGGGUAAAGGCCUACCAAGGCGACGAUCUGUAGCGGGUCUGAGAGGAUGAUCCGCCACACUGGGACUGAGACACGGCCCAGACUCCUACGGGAGGCAGCAGUGGGGAAUAUUGGACAAUGGGCGAAAGCCUGAUCCAGCCAUGCCGCGUGUGUGAAGAAGGCCUUUUGGUUGUAAAGCACUUUAAGCGAGGAGGAGGAGCUUCAGGUUAAUACCCUGGAUGCUUGGACGUUACUCGCAGAAUAAGCACCGGCUAACUCUGUGCCAGCAGCCGCGGUAAUACAGAGGGUGCAAGCGUUAAUCGGAUUUACUGGGCGUAAAGCGUGCGUAGGCGGCUAAUUAAGUCAAAUGUGAAAUCCCCGAGCUUAACUUGGGAAUUGCAUUCGAUACUGGUUAGCUAGAGUAUGGGAGAGGAUGGUAGAAUUCCAGGUGUAGCGGUGAAAUGCGUAGAGAUCUGGAGGAAUACCGAUGGCGAAGGCAGCCAUCUGGCCUAAUACUGACGCUGAGGUACGAAAGCAUGGGGAGCAAACAGGAUUAGAUACCCUGGUAGUCCAUGCCGUAAACGAUGUCUACUAGCCGUUGGGGUCUUUGAGACCUUAGUGGCGCAGCUAACGCGAUAAGUAGACCGCCUGGGGAGUACGGUCGCAAGACUAAAACUCAAAUGAAUUGACGGGGGCCCGCACAAGCGGUGGAGCAUGUGGUUUAAUUCGAUGCAACGCGAAGAACCUUACCUGGCCUUGACAUACUAAGAACUUUCCAGAGAUGGAUUGGUGCCUUCGGGAACUUAGNAUACCAGGUGCU
rnacentral:rRNA from 1 species